rnacentral:rRNA from 1 species
AUUGAACGCUGGCGGCAGGCCUAACACAUGCAAGUCGAACGGUAACAGGAAGCAGCUUGCUGCUUCGCUGACGAGUGGCGGACGGGUGAGUCAUGUCUGGGAAACUGCCUGAUGGAGGGGGAUAACUACUGGAAACGGUAGCUAAUACCGCAUAACGUCGCAAGCCCAAAGAGGGGGACCUUAGGGCCUCUUGCCAUCGGCUGUGCCCAGAUGGGAUUAGCUAGUAGGUGGGGUAACGGCUCACCUAGGCGACGAUCCCUAGCUGGUCUGAGAGGAUGACCAGCCACACUGGAACUGAGACACGGUCCAGACUCCUACGGGAGGCAGCAGUGGGGAAUAUUGCACAAUGGGCGCAAGCCUGAUGCAGCCAUGCCGCGUGUAUGAAGAAGGCCUUCGGGUUGUAAAGUACUUUCAGCGGGGAGGAAGGGAGUAAAGUUAAUACCUUUGCUCAUUGACGUUACCCGCAGAAGAAGCACCGGCUAACUCCGUG